AUUGAACGCUGGCGGCAGGCCUAACACAUGCAAGUCGAACGAGUGGCGGACGGGUGAGUAAUGUCUGGGAAACUGCCUGAUGGAGGGGGAUCACUACUGGAAACGGUAGCUAAUACCGCAUACCAUCGGAUGUGCCCAGAUUGGAUUAGCUAGUAGGUGGGGUAAAUGCCAACCUAGGCGACGAUCCCUAGCUGGUCUGAGAGGAUGACCAGCAACACGGGAACUGAGACACGGUCCAGACUCCUACGGGAGGCAGCAGUGGGGAAUAUUGCACAAUGGGCGCAAGCCUGAUGCAGCCAUGCCGCGUGUAUGAAGAAGGCCUUCGGGUUGUAAAGUACUUUCAGCGGGGAGGCGUUACCCGCAGAAGAAGCACUGGCUAACUCCGUGCCAGCCGCCGCGGUAAUAC
rnacentral:rRNA from 1 species